rnacentral:rRNA from 1 species
AUUUAAAUAUUUUUCUAAUAAAAAAAAAAAAAAAACUCGGAAGUAAAGCAGGGUCGGGCCUGGUUAGUACUUGGAUGGGAGACCGCCUGGGAAUACCAGGUGCUGUAAGCU